GACAGAGGGGGCAAGCGUUGCUCGGAAUUACUGGGCGUAAAGGGCGCGUAGGCGGAAUGGCAAGUCGGUCGUGAAAUCCUUCGGCUCAACCGAAGAACGUCGAUCGAAACUGCCGUUCUUGAGGAUUGCAGAGGAGACUGGAAUUCCCGGUGUAGCGGUGAAAUGUAUAGAGAUCGGGAGGAACACCGGUGGCGAAGGCGGGUCUCUGGGCAAUUCCUGACGCUGAGGCGCGAAAGCGUGGGGAGCAAACGGG
rnacentral:rRNA from 1 species